ACAAAAAUUGGGAGAAGUGUCCACUCCCGUUUAUGAAUAGAAGGUUAUAGUGUGCCUAAACCAAAAAAAUUCUUAGCGACACCCCUGGUUAUUCCUACGACCAUAGUAAGAUUUCUAGAAUUAAAAUAUCGUAUAUAUAGGUAGGUACCUAAUAAUAAUAAUAUUAUUGAAUAUGAGGAAUUAUUUAAUCCUUCUAUAGUUUCUUAUAU